rnacentral:rRNA from 1 species
GUGCCAGCAGCCGCGGUAAUACGAAGGGGGCUAGCGUUGCUCGGAAUUACUGGGCGUAAAGGGCGCGUAGGCGGCUCUGUUAGUCAGGCGUGAAAGCCCUGGGCUCAACCUGGGGACUGCGCUUGAUACGGCAGGGCUUGAGGGCAGAAGAGGCUCGCGGAAUUCCCAGUGUAGAGGUGAAAUUCGUAGAUAUUGGGAAGAACACCGGUGGCGAAGGCGGCGAGCUGGUCUGUCUCUGACGCUGAGGCGCGAUAGCGUGGGGAGCAAACAGGAUUAGAUACCCUGGUAGUCC